rnacentral:rRNA from 1 species
UACGUAGGGGGCUAGCGUUGUCCGGAAUCAUUGGGCGUAAAGAGCGCGUAGGCGGCCCGGUAAGUCCGCUGUGAAAGUCCAGGGCUCAACCCUGGGAUGCCGGUGGAUACUGUCGGGCUCGAGUCCGGAAGAGGCGAGUGGAAUUCCUGGUGUAGCGGUGAAAUGCGCAGAUAUCAGGAGGAACACCAAUGGCGAAGGCAGCUCGCUGGGAUAACACUGACGCUCAUGCACGAAAGCGUGGGGAGCAAACAGG